AUUGAACGCUGGCGGCAGGCCUAACACAUGCAAGUCGAGCGGGGUUUUCGGACCUAGCGGCGGACGGGUGAGUAAUGCGUAGGAAGCUACCCGACAGAGGGGGAUACCAGUUGGAAACGACUGUUAAUACCGCAUAAUGUCUACGGACCAAAGUGUGGGACCUUCGGGCCACAUGCUGUCGGAUGCGCCUACGUGGGAUUAGCUAGUUGGUGAGGUAAUGGCUCACCAAGGCGACGAUCCCUAGCUGGUCUGAGAGGAUGAUCAGCCACACUGGGACUGAGACACGGCCCAGACUCCUACGGGAGGCAGCAGUGGGGAAUAUUGGACAAUAGGCGAAAGCCUGAUCCAGCAAUGCCGCGUGAGUGAUGAAGGCCUUAGGGUUGUAAAGACUCUUUUACCCGGGAUGAUAAUGACAGUACCGGGAGAAUAAGCUCCGGCUAACUCCGUGCCAGCAGCCGCGGUAAUGUGACUACUG
rnacentral:rRNA from 1 species